GGUACAAUAGCCAGAAGUCACGCUGCCUUAGCAACUCUCUUCGUCGAGGCUGUGAAAUCAAAUCAGGACGGAACGAUCGUCACCUCAACUCUGGAGGACUUCAAUUGGCCAGCAGAACGCAUCUCGGAAACGGUCAAAGAACUGGAGUCUUGCAGAGAGAAAAUACGGUCAAAACUUGCAUCAGUUGGCACGUAUCCGCCUCACAUUGUUGAUGUUGAUUGGAAGCUGGAUUACCAUGUCCGGAGCAGCGCAGGGGAGGAGGGCGGGGGAGCCUUUUACCUGAUAACGCUCCACACAGAAGAGGGUGACGGCCGACGGGGGAAAGUGACCUUCUCUUGCUCCCUGGCGCAGCUCUCCCACCUGGUCACGCAGCUUCGACAGGCAUCCCGUUGUAUCCAAAAAUAUGCCAAUAACAGUUGAUCAGAUUCCAUAUUUAAAUGUUUUACUUCUUUGUCUUAUGAUGGUUGCACUUGCUCAGUCAGAAUAAUUUUUGGUGCUUAUGACCUCCACCAUUUGCCUUUAUAAAGAGUAUAUGUUGUAUAUUUAUAUAUAUUCAUGCAAAAGAUGAUCCAGUAUCUUUUGGUGAAAAUAAUGAUUUUUUGAAAAGGGUUAUUAUAUUUUAUCAAUUGCAAUGUGUAAUGAUUGGAGAGUUCUAGUUUGAUAUAAAAGUUUUUCUAUAAAAUUAUUGAUAUGAUGAGAUUAGUUUUCUACAUAAUUUGUGAGGUAGCUUAUACACACUAAUACUCCAGUUGUUUCUUGAUUGAUAAAUAAUCUUUUGUAUGUGUGUCCCCUUUUUUUUCUUUCUCUCUUUUUUUUUUCUUUUUUUUUUUUGCAAGUGGUCAUUAACAGAUGCCUCACUUUAUAUUCCUGACAUAUACUCAGGGAAAAGGUAUUAUUAUUGAUAUUAUUGUUAUUAUCAUCACUGUUAUUAUUUUGGAUGAAAAAUAUUUCCUUAAUUUGUAUAAUUCUACCAGUCACUUGGUUCAGAGCUUUGUUUAGUAUCUUUAAAAGCCAACUUAAUAUUCAGUCAGAUAUUUCUCACACUAUGCGUGCACUUGUGUUACUAGGCAGUGUAACAAAAUAAAUGUGUCUGUGAUAUGUGAUGAUUAUUCCUUGUAUUGUGGCAUAUAAGCAAGGGAGAAAGUUUGUUUAAUUGUUACUAAUUCCAGAAUAUUAAAAGGUUACGAAAGCUCAUACAUGUGCCAAAUAUAGUGAUGUGAUAGUGCCAUUAUCUAUAGUCUCUGUCUCUAGCAUUCCACUUCAUUCAUGUUCAAGGGAGUACAGUCAGGUCUCACUUAAAAAGUCUUCUAUUGCAGUUUCCCUGUAGUCAGUGCCUGUUGUGUAAGCACAUUGUGAUGCCAUAGUAAUUAUGAUUAAUUUGAAUAUUUGGUGUAAAGGAAAAAUGGAACAAUGAAUGCCCUCCACUGCCUUAUUUUCUCAUACUCUUAACCCACACUAUCCCUCAAGCUAGCUGAUUCUUUUCUUGGCACUGCUUAAAUCAUGUACAUAGUAGGAUGUACUUGUAUGUAUUAGAAGAGAAUUGUGCACUCUGUGUCCUAACUCUUUUAGCUUAAACUUCAGGAAAAUAUGUGAAAAAGGAACCUGUUAAAUCCCUGACUGCCUUAGGAACCAGAAAGUGUACUGACCUUUGUUUAAGGAUAUUUUAAGGCGACUGGUAUCUUCUUUCCUUUAUGGUUUAUAGUUGUCUACUAUAGUAGGUAACUAUUCAAAAAUUUGUAUCAUUUCUUUUAUCGGUUUUACUUUUUUCUUCCUCUUUGUAAAGAAUAUGCAGAGAUGUACAAGACAUUGAAACUAAACAUGAAUUAGAGAGGACUGUGCAGCAUCAGUAUUUUGUAUUUUGUGGUUGAUCAUUAUCUUGACCAAUGGUCUUCAAUAUAUUUAAGACUGUGGCCUACUUCUGGCUUUCCCUGAUUAUCAUGGACCACUAUUGUUGGCUCACUAAUUGAAAACCAUUGAUUUAGACUAAUGUAUAUGAGUUCUAAAUUAGAUAGGUGUAGAACAAAAUCAUAUUGAACUGUAUUGAAACAUGGCUGCUGUUGAGUAUCAAUUAUAGAACUUAGAUAGAACAAACGUCAGACCACAGAUCAUGUAAUCUGUAAGUUGAAAAUGGGAAAAUAACCCAGUUAUAUUUUGUACUCUUAGCAUCAUCUUCACAAUGGAAUUUCAGAGAUAUUUCUGUGCAGUUGGUUCUAUGCAAUAUGAAAGUACAGGUUUUGGCCUAAGACAGUGCA